AAACUCCUCGUCUGUAAGCACAUUCAAUUCUGGGGUUUCAAUACCUAUAUUUAUCAACGUCAAUUAAUCAAUUAUCUCCAGCGCUUCUUGAAGAGAAAACCGUUUUCUGGAACAAACAAUACGUUACAAUUCCAAAAGUUCCGAUUUUUGCUCCCAUAUGUUCCUAGCGUUACAUAUAUGUAACACCAAAAAUUAAAGGCAUUUUUUACAAAACCAGGAUAAAAUUUCUAAAAAUUUAUAUUAUCAGUAAGAGCAGACAUUAAUUUAUUCUCAAUUGAAAACACUUUAAACAAAAUAUAAUAACAAAGGAAAGGUAAAAAUAUACUUUCUCAAACUUGGGAUCCAUUUUUACCAAAAAUGAUAAACACCGUCACAUAAAACAAUCAACUAAAUAAACAGGUUAGAUCAAAUCCUCGAACCAACUGCUGAAAACUAGCAAACAAGUGUCCCUUGAAAGUCUUGUAUCAUCAUCUAAUUAAAAUUAGAAUCACUUCCCGAUUUUAAGGCUUAGGAUUUUAGCGGCUUCUGUGUUACAUAUAUGUAACGCUAGGAGCUUAAGGGUUAAUAAACCUAUGUCUCCAAAUGCUUUGUUUUCGAGAUAAGGGGUGUUGAAAUUUUUCUUCCAAUUUGGUGAUUUAUUUAUUGCUCUAAAACCGGUUGAGAUAUGCAAAUGAAGAGAUAGUUAUUGUGCAUUUUUUGACAUACAAUUAAGAAUUUUAUUUUUACCAUUAAGUAUGGUAAACUUAAAGGUUACCAUACUUAUUUAAAAACACCCUGUAUUGAUAAAGAACAUGGCUAGUUGUUAAAGUAUCUAACUUUUUUAUUAUCCAACACAAGUGAAUGAAUCGAAAAACAGAAUGUUAAGAAAACAUGAGGCUAUAGUUGGGUUUUAAUUUCAGUAUUUUAUAAAUGCUAGAAUAUUCCAUAGUGUGUGGUGAACGUUGAGAAAAAAUCACAGCUUGAUUGGUACACCCGGUAUACAGUGAGAAUUUACGUGAUACAGCAAUAGUAUUACAGCGAUAUUGUUAAAGAAUGAGGCAAUAACAUAUUAAAAAAUUUACUUAAAUCGGACAACAGGUUUAGGAAAUUCGAGACAUCAAAAAUGGCUAAUUUUAAAGUGGAGCGUUAAUUUUUUGGAGAAGUGUAAUAAAAGAGUCUAAGAAGGA
rnacentral:lncRNA from 1 species